AUCUUGGAAGCUAAGCAGGGUCGGGCCUGAUUAGUACUUGGAAGGGAGACCACGUAGGAUGACAAGGUGC
rnacentral:miRNA from 1 species